ensembl:lncRNA
CAAGAGUUUUCACUUGUGCAUUCUGUACCAGCUAAUAAAUGUAACAACAGCGAUCAUUUUCAUUAUGAUCAUAAUUUAGUCAACUUUAUGUUAAUCAAUUUCUAUUUAAUAGGAAAGGUUGCACGUGUGUAUAAUUAUUCAUUUAAUUUAACCCUUUUCAGUCUGAAUAAAUGUAAUAUAUUUUGUGCCAUUUUAUGAACUAUCUGUACCUUUUUUUUCUGUCAACCACAGGUUAUUUUGCCUGCAGCCCCCGACACCAGUCAAUAUUGCUCUUCCAUAGAGGUUACUGAUACAUUUGAUAGUAGGGGGGGUAAGUGUAACACUAUUUAACACUGUGUAUUAGACUGCACUGUCUAUACCACCAUCAUCAAAGAAGAGCAUCUUCUAUAUUUGUGUGUGUGUGUGUGUGUGUGUGUGUGUGUGUGUGUGUGUGUAUGAUACAGUUGGAGCUACAUAUAUUUUUAAAAAAAAUAAAAUGGCGCAGAAGUACAACUCACGCUGGAGGAGAAAGGUGAAGAGCCAGCAAAAUACUUGCAAAAGAUACAGAAGAAAGGACACACAAGGACAGGAAAAUAGAGAAGCAACAAACUGGAGGUCAGAUGAUUGCAGCACCGAGCAAGUGACCAGAUCUGCUAAUUUGGAAGACUCUUCAAACACAAAUGUGUGUAACAUCCAUUACACCAACCAUUCAUCCCAGUGCUAUGGACACACAAGUGAGAUGCAUCACUCUGGUCUUAAUGUUGAAUCAGAGCCUGAACAGCCUAUUUACAUGGAUACAUUUCCUGAGCACCUACCUGAAUUUGUUGAAGAAGGGACUUUAGAUGACAAUGCGUUAUUUGAUGAAGACUUUCCAAUUGAUGAUGACCUAUCAUUUGAAGACAGUUUUGAGCUUAACCAAGAGGAGGGAACAAAACUCGAAAGCUCUACAAACACUGUAGAUCAUCCACUGUACAGAAAUGCACCAAUUUCUGUUGCAGAGAGUCUUCUCCUCAUAAUGACUUUUGCAAACAGACACAAAAUAACAGGAAAAGCUCUCAGUGAUUUGCUUACAUUAAUAUCUCUGCACUGCC